CCUACUGACCCAAUGUUACAAGGAAGCAUCCAUGUCCAGGUGUUUCUUAGGGUGUGAUUAUCAGUUUGAGCUCAAACCCUCUCCCAAAUUCCCUCUGGUAUACAUUCUGUUUAAGGAAAUAAGACAAAUACAUCACUAAGCUUUGGGAGGACAGAGAAAGCAUAAACAGAAAACGACAAUGCAGCAAGGAGGCACUUUCAAUGCUGUGGACCAGAGGCACUGUGUGCUAAGCAAGAAACACUGUGCCAAGAAGGAUCUAUGUUCUGGAGAUAUGCUCUAUGGCUCGUAAGCAUCUCUCCUCCAGUACAUCCAUCAUCACGCUUGUCUUGCCACAGCCCCAGAAACAGGGAAACUAACUGAUCGUGAAACGAAACUUCUACAACUGAUUGGAAGAAUGAGGAAGAGAGAGAGAAAAGAGGAUGUGAACAAAGCAGAAGAAGAAGCUUGUUGCUAAUGCAGGUGGUGAGUCCAGUUGGAGCAUGUUUUUUUUUUUCAAAUGGACUUCUUUUAAAAAAAGUACAAUUUAUGUUCAUUGGUGUUUUGCCUGCAUGCAUGUGUGUUGAGGGUUUCAGAAGCCCUGGAACUAGAGUUACAGACAGGUGUGAACUGCCAUGUGGGUUCUGGAAAUUGAACCCAAGUCCCCUGGAAGAGCAGCCAGUGAUCUUAACUGAUGAGCCUUUUUUUUUUUUUUAAGAAAAGGAAACAUAGAAGAAAGGAAGACAAGAGAGGGGAGAAAGGAGGGGAAAAGAGGCAAAAGAGGGGAAAGGAGAGAGCUGGAAAAAUAGCUUAGUGGUUAGAAACACCCUAGGAUCUUUAAGAGGACCAGCGUUUGGUUCCCAGCACUGAUUUUUAGUCUUGGACAACUGUCUAAAACUACAACUCCAAGGGACCUGAUGCUCUCUUCUGGCUUUCAUGGGCACAACCCCUCUCCUACAUGCAUGUGCUUAUGCACAUGUACAUGUGUGCGCGCACACACACACACACAAAUGGAAUUAAAAUAAAUCUUUUAAAAAACAAGAGGAAGAAAAGAAAUGGGAAGGAGAAAGGAAAGAGAAAAAAGAGAAAGAGAAGAGAAAAGGAGAAAAAAGGAAAAAGAAGAGUAAUAACAUGAACAAAAGACAACAAACCACUGCCUAUAUGGAUAGAACUGAGGGGGAGUCAACUGGUCUACCUUGAAAUUUGCCAUUAGUAAAUGAACUCUGUGCUAACAACUCUUCAACUUUACAUUGUAAUAGGAGGAGGAAGAAGGAAUCAGGAGGAGAAGAGGAAGAAAGAGGAGGAAGGGAAGGAGAUAAAGAAAAAACACCUAGAGAAACAGAGAUAGAGAAACAGAGAGACAUACAUGAGAGGUUCAGAGAAGAUUUUUGUUGUGGAUUCCUGACAAUAUUUUACAAUGAGCUGGAAAGUGACUAUGGGAAGGUUUGCACUAUGUGGAGACUCACUGGCUAUAUUAUGUCAAAGCACUUAAAAGAAAUGUUAAACUGAAUAUUAAAUCAUGCAUUUUUAUUUUACACAAGACUCUGAGUUUUAUUGAUCUAUUGAGUGGAUACGAUUUUUCAGGCUGAGCUGUAGUGGCAUACACCUUUGAUCCUAGCCCUCAGUAGGCAAAGACAGGCAGAUCUCUGAGUUUGAAGUCAGCCUGGUCUAUAGAGCAAGUUUCAGGACACCCUGUCUCCAAACAAACAAACAAACAAACAAACAAACAAACAAGAUUUUUCAGAGUCAAUCUACUUAGCAGAUAAAGAAACAUAAAGGCAUUAAUCACAACUGAGAUAUAAGUAUCAAUUCAAACCUUAAAUCUUUUAUUAAAGCAUUCUUUUUAAAAUGAUGUUUUAUUUAUUUUAUGUAUAGGAGUGUUCUAUCUGCAUGGAUAGCUGCAUGACAGAAGAGGUCAUCUAACCUCAUUAUAGAUGGCUGUGGGCCACCAAUGAUUGUUAGGAAUUGAACUGUAGACCUCUGGAAGACCAGCCAGUGUUCUUACUGCUGAACCAUCUCUCCAGCCUAAAUUUUUAAAUCUUUUACAAGAUCUAUUUUUGACAGAUUGCAGACCUAAUCCUUAAAUGUAAACAAUAAAGUUUGUAAAAUAAAAUAUAAUUGUUUUAUAAUAUCAAGGAAAGUGUUCACUGUCUUAUGCUAAAAUUAAUUUACAUUAAUUUUUUUAUUUAGAGCUGGAGACAUGGCUCUGUGUUUAAGAGUCCACAGUCCUCUUGCAGAGGAGUUCAAUUCUCAGAACCCACAUUAGGGCUCACAACUGCCUUAAAUGCCAGCUCCAGGUGAUCUAAUACCCCUCUGAUACCCUCCCUGUACACACACACACACACACACACACACACACACACACACACACACACACACAAACACUUAGAUUUCUUUAAGAAUUUAAAGAAAAUUAUUUUUAAGAAAAAAUGUCUCUAAAGAAGAGUGAAAGUGUGGCCCAAAAUAAUAUACAAGUAAUAUAUAAAGAACUGUUCCAGAACAAAUAAAUACUUUUGUUUCAAUGGAUAUAUGCCAAUUAUUCAAUGUAUUAGUCAAGUACCAGAAAUAAAUUUCAAUGACAAUCAAGAAUACGAUUUGUUAUUUCAUAUAAUGGGUCCUGUUUAGCACUGAAAAGGAAUGCAGUAUUGCCACACACCUAACAACAUGGAUGGUCUUCUCAAACACUAAGCUGACAAAAAGCUAGAUGUGGCAGAAUACAUACUAUACGAUCAUAUCUACUUGAAGCAUAAUCAAACAAAAUCUAAUCAGUGGUGUUAGAAUGUAGGAUAGUGUUAAUCUGUGGUAAAAAGGCUGGCUGGGAGAUAAAGUAGUAGGUACUUUUCUAUCUAUAUGAGUGUUGAUUAUGUGAAUAUCUUCACUGUGCAAUUACAUGAGCUUUAUGCUUUAGAUAUAUACACUAUUCUGCCUAUAUGCCACAUUUUAUUACAAUUGAUAAAAACUGGAAAAUUAAAUAUACUCUCUCUUUUCCUCAUAUUACAAAUGAUACAAUGAUAAUGAGAAAGUAACAACUGUGUGUGUGUAUGUGUUGUGUGACGAGAGAAGGGGGUAGAGAGGGGGGAGGGGGAGUGAGAGUGGGAGAGAGGGGGAGAGGGAGAGGGAGACAAUGUGUUUAUGGAUGUGUGAGUGUACAUGUGCAUUCACGAGAAGACCAAACAAAAAGGAUUUCAAGUGUCUUCCUCUAUCAUUCUCCACCAUAUUGCCUUGGGAGAAAGUUUCUCACUAAACUGGAAGCUGUCCAUUUCGGUUAGUCUGGUUGAUCAGCAAGAUCUUCGGAUCCAUCUGUCUCUGCCCUCCAUGCUAGGAUUACUGGCAGGUGCAGCCAUGACUUGCUUUUUUGUAGGUGCUGAGGAUUCAAACUCAAGCCCUCAUCCUUAUAGAGCAAGCAUUAUUUGUGGUUGAAUCAACCUUUUUUUCAUCACUUUUAAUUAAGUCUAUACAUGUGUCUGUGUAGGGGUAGGCACAAGUGUGUGCAAGUAGCAGAGAAUAGCAGAGACAGCUCCAGACUCCUCUAGAGCUGGAGUUACAGAUGAUUGUAAGCCACCCAUCAAGGGUGCCUGGAAUUGGAAUCUGGUUCUCUUGAAGGGCAGGGCCUGCUCUUAACCACUGAGCCAGCUCUCCAGCCCCUAGCCUUUGGAAAACAGUUUUAUAAUGAGAACAUUAAUUUGAAAUUUUUUUAUAUUGGUAUGGUUUUGCUGUUCCAAAAAUUUGUGUUUUAUCUUUCUGCACACACACACACACACACACACACACACACACACACACACACACACACAGAGAGAGACAGACAGACAGACAGACAGACAGAGACAAAGACAAAGAGUCAAAGAAAGACAGAAAAUGGGGCAGAAUUUUUAUAUUGUUAGAAGUCUUUCAAUGAGGAGUUUAGGUAGAUUUUGAACUAUUACUUAAUUUUCUUAGCCAGGUAUAGAAGCACACCCUUGUAGUCACAGUGGCAGAGGGGCUAAAGCAGGAGGAUUACAAGUUUGAGAACAACUUAGACUACACAGCAAGACCUUGUCUAAAAAUCAUCAUCGUCAGCAGCAGCAGCAGCAGUAUCACCACCAGCACCAUCAUCAAUCCUCUAUGAAAACUUGGUUUAAUACUUUAUGGCAUAGUGACGUGAUUGAUUCUUAAUUUUCCAUCAUAUAGCAACAGUUACUGUUUCUGGUCACUUGCAUGUGUUAAGCACUUCUCCUUCAAAAUGAUCUUUAAAUAUUAAUGUUACUUGAUUCUCACAGUGAUCUAUGAGAUAGCUUUCAUUGUAUUUUGAUAUUAUAAGGAACAUGUUCAAGAUUAUGCACCUAGAAAUGGGUAGAAUGCAGAUUGUGCUGUGUGUACAACAAACAACUUCAUACAUGUAUAGGAAGUGCUCACAAUUUACUCACCAAUUUUAAAAGGCUUCAGAAUUUAAGAGUAAAACUCUACUACUUGCCACAACUUGGUCUCCUGAUACUGUUGAGCCUCAAUGAUCUUAGUUUGGAUGUUUAACUUCACCAGGAGCAUCUGGGACCACUUCAGCAGUGUUCCCUAGAAAAGGCCUCACCUCUCUUCGACUACCAGGCAAAUUCUUGUUCACUGUGGACAUCUCAGGACAAGUUCUUUUUUCCCUUAUAUCACCAGACAUUCCAGCCAGGGGAGUUCAUCUCUGUUCCCCGAAACACACUGCUUUUUGGAUGCUUAAAGCAGUAUUGUCUCCCAGAACAGUGGCGAGUUCUGGUACUUAAAAACAAACAAACAAACAAGCAAACCAACCAACCAACCAACCAACCAACCAUCCAUCCAACCAACCAAACAACCAUCCAACCAACCAACCAACCAACCAACCAACCAACCAACCAACCAACCAACCAACCAUCCAUCCAUCCAACCAACCAACCAACCAACCAACCAACCAACCAACCAACCAACCAACCAACCAAUCAACCAACCAUCCAACCAACCAACCAACCUCUGCCUCCCAGUGUCUCAUACCUGAAAACAGUAGAAACAACAUAAAUAUAGUUCUGAAUAAGGUAGGGAAAUAGUGUAUUCUGGGGUAGAUUUUAGCUACUUUUACUAUGCAGACACAUGCGCACACACAGGCACAAGUACACACACUGUAUAACAAGUAAGAUGAUAGACAUGUUAGUUUAAUUACCUAUAUUGAUCAUUUCACGAUUUUUGUCUAUGAAUAGCAAAAUAUGUUGUGUACUUUAAUCACAAAUGGCCUAAAGAAUAUUUAAAGGAAAUACAGAUUUCAAAGAAAAAAAAACUCUAGAGAAAAAUUACAUUUUAGAAGAGAGAGUUUAAUUUUCACAUCCAAGAUUCUGUGGUUUGCUUUAGAGGAAAGGACUGUUACCAGGUGUAGAGCAUCCACUAUGCUCCCAGGGCUCUAUGAACAACUUGUAUUGCUUUUUACAACCAUGCACUUUGGACUCUUUAUUUCCUCCUCUAAUAAAAACUUCCUCUGGUUUAUUUUCUCGGUGGCCUUCCUGAAGCCACAAAUGAAUAGCUGUCACUAGAUGAAUAGUACAUCAAGUCUUCCUGAAAUACCUUUCAUUAUGGCUCUUAGAAGACGCUGUCUAUAUUGUGAUUUUUAUAGCAAACUUAGAAGUAAUAUUUCUUUCUCUUGGAGGGUCAAUCCCCUUCAUGGCCCAUUAGACCAUUAAAUUAAGAUUUAACAUAUCUUUAUUCCACUGGACACUCAGAAAUUAGAAGUAACUAGACGUAUCUCCAUUAAUGUCUUUCAAAUGCCAUAUAAUAUAGUGGGAAAUAUAAGAAGGAACACAAAAAAAAGCAUCAUGUUGUGGGUCUCUAUGGUGAUGAAAUUAAUGUUAGUCGAUAAUUAUAUCUUUGAAUAUUCUAAUAAUUGUUAAAAAGAAAUAGAUCUUGGGGAAGCAAGAAGGAGGUUGAUGGAAGAAGAGGGGGAGGAGGGAGAAUGGCACCAAGGAAGUCUGCAAAAGCCAUAAGGAAUCGUAAUUUAUUUACCUAAAAUUCAUGUAAUACAUAACAGUAUGUAUAUAUAAUAUCUAUAUGUAUAUUUUAAUAAAGCAUUGCUUAAAGUUUAUUUAUUCUUAUUUUAUGUUCAUUAGUUUACAUGGAUAUCUGUGUGAUAGUACUGGACCUCUGGAACUGGAGUUACAGACUGUUGUGAACUACUAUAUGGGUGUUGGGAAUUAAAUCCAGGUUCACUGGAAGAGCAGCCAGUGCUUUUAACCACUGAGCCAUUUCACCAUCCCCUAUAUGUAUUUCUUUUUAAAUGCAUUCAUCUGAUUUGAUCUGGCAAUACUCCUUCCAGGAGUAUUUACACUAUUACUCAUUACAUUAUUUCUAUUGAUAAACCCCAAGUAAUGGUUUGAAUGAGAAUGGUGCCAUAGACCCAUAUAUUUGAAUUCUUGGUCACCAGUUGGAACCAUUUGGGAAAGAUUAGGAGGUAUGGCCUUGUUGAAGGCUUCGGAGUUUCAAAAGCCCACACAAGGCUCAGUGUCUCCUUCUGCCUAAGGAUCAGGGUGUAAAGCUCUCAGCUACUGCCUCCGGCACCGUGCCUGCCCAUCGGCUUGUCUGCCAUGACGAUUGCAGACUAAUCCUCUAAAACUGUAAGCAAGUGCAUAAUUAAAUGUUUUCUUUUGUAAGAGUUGCUUUGAUCAUGGUGUCUCUAUAUAACAAUAGAAGUGUAAUUAAAACACCCUAGAACUUAUAUUACGAAACAUGAGAUAGUCAUUUGUGUUGUAACUUGGCAACGUGUAAAGUUCUAAGAAGGAUCAUGAUCAACAUGGACUAUAAAAAGUGUCUCACUUUAAUGAAAUUCUGUAAUUGCUAAUUGCUCUCUUGUAUUCACUAUGUGACCAAUCCAUAUCUAUUUAUGAAUUUAUACCAGGUUCAAUUUGCUAUUGAAGAUGAGGGUAAUAGGUUACCGCAAGUAUAUGAUGCAAAUAUAAUAAUCUAAUUAAUUUAUCUAGGCCAUGUUCACCUCAGAGCUUUGCAAUAAUGUUUUCAAAGGUUUUUUCUCAGAGCAUUAAUGUGCCAUGUUGUCUGCCUUCCCCAUCUGCUUUGAUGAUAUAUAUUUUGUAAAUAGUUUUAUGAUUUUCAGUUAUGAGACAGCAGAGAAGUAUUAGAUAUUACAUAAAAGGCAAAAUAUUAGCCAUUACAGAAGUGGUAUGUGUAAGUAGGUAUCUCUACAUUAUUUAAAUCUGCCUGAUUUAAAUUCUGUCCUCUGCUUACAUAGUAUGUGACCAUGAGCAGGCUAUUUAGCUGCCUACUACUUCAGUUUUCUCACAUAUGAACUGGAAAUAAAAAUAGCAUGUACCUCUUAGGAAUGUUCUUGUGACUGUGAGAAUGAAAAUAGGCAGAAUAUGUGGAAACCAUUGGUGUUUAAUAGUAAGUUUUGCAGAGUUUAUUUAUCGUAAUCCACUUAUUCAUCUAUGGAAUUGCCUUAUCACCAUGAAAUGAAGCACUAUGCUUCCUGGGCUCUCCUGGGAAUGCACUUCAAAAUGUAGACUAGGUUUACACAUGUAUACGCUAUUUUACAGGAUCUAGAAAGCGUAAGUUAGAAACAGAAUGUCUUCUUUUCCCUUUCUGCUGCGAGUAAAGAUUAACCAGAGUUGAAUGUUAAGAAGCAAUGUAGUUGUCGGAGAGGAUAUAAAAACUGCCUUCAAGCCUCUUUCCCAUUAUAUAUAGAUUUAAGUAUGGUGUUAUGCAUUUUUCAAGGGUGCAUUAUUUUCUUUGAUCCAAUGUCAGGUUCUUAACACCCACUCCUUCAGUGCUUUGGUGAAAUUACAUUUAGUUCCCUGAAUUACAUUUUCCCCCUCAAACUACACUAAGAUGGUUUCUGUUUCAAACUAGCACUCUGAAUGAAUCACAUAGCAACCUGUGGUCCCACGCACCAAUACAUAGAACUCCAAGCCCAGUACUGUGCUAUAAUGAAUCUAAUUUGUGAGGUAUUAUUUUUUCGGUAAAAUAUAUUAACUUACUUCCUAUGGUCAACGAAGAAAUCAAUAUCACCUCUACUUGGUAUCAAAAGAAAUCACAACACUCACACACACACUCUCUCUCAUAUGCACACAACCAAAUACAUAGGUAUGUUUCCUGGUAACUUUCUUACAACACAGGGUAAUUUGACAGUACAGCCUGGAUUCAGGUAGUUUAAUACUGAUGCAUAGAAAGUUAUCUUUAGAGGUCUAGAAACCUUAAAAUAAGGCUUCUUGUUUCUGACCCACUAUUAUUUUUUUAUUUAGUAGUUAGAAAUGCCAACAGAGAAGAUGCCCUGUGCAUGUUUAUGACGUACUCCUUUUGGGACUCUGGGACACCUGUUUGACAUCAAGGCUAGGUAUAAACAAAGCUUUCAAUCAGUUGUUUAGUCCACCUCCACAGCAGGCGAAACUGCUAAGUCAGCUGCCCAGACCUGCCUUGUAGCCAUCAGAUUUCAUUAUGAGGUAAAAUGAUUAAUUUCCAGGGGAAAAUAAGGUGAAGGAAAACUAAUUAAUUUCUUGUCCUUAGGAUUUUCAUCUAGGCUGCCUUCAUACCAACUGUUACACAUACCUGUUGUUCAAAAUUAGUAGGAGCAACUGGCAAUACUAACCUCAGCCCCCAAACUCUGACUGAACUUCUCUAUUUCCCGCACUUCUUGAUCAACUGGCCUCCCAAUCCUGAGGCUUUUUAGAGCAUUAAAUCUAUGCGUACAUUCUCAGUGUUUUUGAGGCUCACUGAAGGAUAAAAUCCCAGUCAAAUACCAACAGGGCAAGUUUAGUUGAUUGUCUUUACAUGGCAAGAAGUGUAUAAAUUUUGAAAAUGAAACCUAAAUCUGUGCAAUACUAUCUUUGACAAUUAAUAUUAAUUAAUUAAUUAAUUAAUUAAUUAACAGAAUCUAGAGACUUCUGAGAGAUGGACCCCUAGGAAUGCCUGUAGACAGUUGUCUUGAUCACGUGAUUCCCUGCUGCUGGGGAAACCCAUCCACUUAUGAGUGCCAGCAUUCCCAGACUGUAUAAAUGGAGAGACAGAACUGAGCAGCAGCAUUCAUUCUCCAUUCUCCGUUUUCUGGCUUGGAUACGCUGUGAUGAGCUGCAUCACCACCUUGCUGCUUUGACUUCCCUGUCAUGAUGGGCUGUAGCUGUGGGCCAGAAGAACCUUUUCUCUGGCGUUCGUUAUAUGUUGUCUCUGUACAAAAUUAACAAACCUACAUGGAGAGUUCCGUCCUCUUAUUCUAGCACAGCUGUCUCACCAUGUAGCCCUGGCUGUCUUAGAAUGUGCUAUGUAGUCUAAGCAGGUUGCAGACUCACAGAGAUCUGCCUGCUUCUGCCUUCCAAGUGCUGGGAUUAAAUGCAUGUGCUAUUUACACCAGGUCCUCCUAUAUCUUCCAAGAUCUUACCCUUAUCAACAAUUUCCUCAUUUUGUCUUUAAUCUCUCUGUCCUAACUCCUUCUGCUCUACACUUCAAGGUACUUAAGUAUUUUCUUUCUUAUAGUUUACAGGCUAUAGCCCGUCAUUGCUCUCAUUCCCUUUAUAACCAACUCCUAAGAAUCUUAUUUCUUAAAACUUGUGUCAGAUGAUAUAUCACUAAUAAACACAAUUUCUUAGAAGACUGGAUUCCUAUCUUCAUGUUGAACACUUGACUGAAGAAACAACAGACAUACUCAUCUGGAUGACUGCUUUCCAAUCAAGCAGUCAAGAGAUUUCUGAGUCUUUCACCUUCAUAGGCAUGAACAAUGCAUCAAUACUGAGAAGUUUUGCUUUAGUUACCUUCAGCCAAGAAAGGAACAGGGCUAGUCAUAUUCCAAGGUUAAAUACUUUCUUUGAACACUGUGGAAAAGUACAAAAGUAGUAGGGGGCCUGAGUCAGACCUGGCACAUGGUAAGAGGAAUACUCUACAUGUAAGCACCCAGUAUUGUAUUGUAAGCUGAGAAAAUAGCAAUUCAUUGUUAAAUUAAAUUACUAUAUGUUUAAAAAUGAGAUUUAUUCAUUUUACUGUGCAUAUUUGUAUGUGCAUCACUGUGUGCUAGGUUCCCACAGAGGUUAGAAAAGGGCAUUGCAUCCUUUAAAACUGAAGUUAAAGAUGAAUGUUAAAGCCACCCAUGUGGGGGCUGGGAAUUGAACCCAGGACCUCUGCUAGAACAAAUGGUCUUAACUAUUGAGCUACCUCUCCAUUCCUAACCUUGAAACUUUUAACUUAACUUGCUUUAGUAUUUUUUAUGUUUGAUUAAAUGGUAUACAUUGUCUAUAUGACUGUGUAUGACUAUAGAUCAUUGACAAUGAUUUUAUGUCUAGAUUCAUUUAUAUAAUAUAAACAAUCAAGGUAGCUCAAGAAUGCUUUCCCUUUCUCAUUUACAAUAUAUUUUAUGAGCACAUAUAUUAUACACUUAUAUUCCAGAAUUUAUUUUAACUAUUAAUAUAUUUGAUUCUUUUAACAAAACUAUAAUAUAGUUAUCAUUGUUACCCUCGCUCUGCUGAAGAGGAAACUGAGGAAUAGAUAGAGAUUUGGUUGGUAUUGCUAGGAUGUAAAUCUAGGUACUUUUGGCUCUAAAAUCUGUCUCUGCUCAAAUGGAAUGCUGAUUCAUUAACCCAACAAUUGAAAAAUACAUUAGGAAAUACGAUGUUGAAGGGAUACAGACUAUCUGCCUUUAGCUUUUACUUCUUAUUUGAGUUUUUUUUUUUCUUUCAGGAUAAACAUUACAUCACUACAGACUCUGGUUAUUUACUAACCUCUGACCUUUAUUCUAUUUUUAUAAAGCAUAUACUCAACUGGACAUUUUCACACAUGUUGCAAAGACAUGGGUUCAACAGAAGUUGAAUUAGGUGGUAUUUGUCUGUCCUGAAUUUGUUUCCUAUUCCAAAAAUCUGUCUUUGGCUGUAUAUUAUCUUCUACUUAAUGGUCACUCUCCCUAUUUCAGAAGGUCUUUGAAUAGUAGCAGAAAGAGCAAAAACAAGGGACUGGGGAGAUGGCUCAGUGGUUAAAAGCACUGACGGUUCUGCCAGAGGUCCUGAGUUCAAUUCCCAUGUGGUUACAUGGUGACUCACAACCAUCAGUAAUGGGAUCUGAUGUCCUCUUCUGGUAUGUCUGAAGACACAUACAGUGCACUCAUAAAUAAAUAAAUCUUUGUGUGUAAAAGAGUCAGAGAGAGAGAGAGAGAGAGAGAGAGAGAGAGAGAGAGAGAGACAGAGAGAGACAGAGACAGAGACAGAGAGAGAGAGAUAGAGACAGAUACAGAGACACAGAGAUAGAGAAACAAGCCCACAAAGCUAUUAUGGUCAGAUGUCAGUCACAUAUAGAGUCCAAAAGGCCAAUAACUCCAGAAGGGAUUUGACUAUACCCAAUGCCCAAGGGAUAAGAACAUAUCAUUAAAAAAAUGUAAUGUUGAAACUGAUACAGAAUAACACCUGCCUACAUUUAGACAUUAAAUCUCCUUCCAUUUCCUAUACUAUGUGAGGGAAUGCUAUCUUUUAUGUACAUGGUUUAUGCUGGUGCAGCACUUCACCAUAACGUUCAUUCCCCAGCACUGCAGCAAUUCCUGAACUGAGGAUGGUUGUGAGGGUGGUUGGCCCUGGGGGUGGGGCAAGAGGUUACAAAGCUCAAGGUCAUCUUCAGCUAGAUAAGAGUUGAAGACCAACCUGGGCUACAAGAGAUCUUUUCUCUACUUCCAAAACAAAACAAAAACAACCCAAGUUCAGAAGUAGCCAUUCUUUUAGGUUCUAUUCCAAUCAAAAUAAGGAAGAUCAGGCUCAUUUCUCUAAAACAUUUUUUAUCACUCUUGACUUUCUACUAAAACAUUCUAUAUCUGUUUUGAUAAACUAUGUGAAUUUUGGUUGGCUCUCAGGCAGAUGGCUGUAUGAAGGGCAAUACUGACAUGGCCUCUGUUGUGUUGUUGUAUUGAUUAUCCAAGUAGAUAAACUCUCCCAGAUCCACGAAUCUCCAGGUCCAUUUAUCAACCCACCAUAUGCUGUCUUUCUUUGAGUUUAAGCAUUAACUGGGAGACACAAGCAUCUUGAAAGAAGGAUCUGAAAUUCUUGGAAAAAGUCUAAUGAGCUUUUAGGUUCAAAUCUGACUAUAUACAGGGAGGUAGCAUCAUUUUCCUAGAAAUGUGAAUAAAAGAACAUUCGCUGGGAGAAAUUAGCAGAGAUGUUCAAAUACUCUAUUACAGGUAUGCAUUAUAAAUAAUGAAUUUCAUUCUAAAGAGAGAAUGGCCAUGAAGUAUAACCCAAUGAGACUGAAAUAAUUUUCUUUGCUUCCUCCUAAGAACUUAUUGUUAUUAAGAACAGUAAAUGCCAUGCGUCUAGCCACCUGUGAUGCUGUGUAAACAUAAUUUGUAUGUUUUUACUGUCCCAGAGAGGAACUGGUGGGUACUAAAGAAAAAUCAUGGACAAAAUCAAAAGACAUUACCAGAAAAAGUACCCAAGAUUGUCUUUGUUCUGGUCCUUAAUUAAAAAAUGAAAAAAAUCUUAAAGUACAAAGAAGCAGUCACUCUUGUCUAAUGCAGCUUACUGGUACUUGGACAUAUGAGUAAAAGCCAUUUAAAAAAAAAAAAGAAUGUGCCAGAGGGUGGUAGCUCACGCCUUUAAUCCCAGCACUAGGGAGACAGACACAGGCAGAUCUCUGAGUUCUGAGUUCAUGGCCAGCCUGGUCGACAUAGUGAGUUCCAGAACAGCCAAGAUUACACAGAGAAACUCUAUCUCAGAAAAAAAAAACACUAAAAAACUAAAAAAACUUCUCUUCCUAUGAGAAGACCAAUAUUUCUGUGGUUGGAUUUGACAAAUAUAUACCAGAUUAUUAUCAAAUACGUGAAGACUUUCUUUAACACUAGUAGUACUGUGUUAUCUAGUACCAUCAGGAACAGAGUCUUCUAGUUAAUCCGAUCUUAAGGUGAAUAAGAAUAAUCACAGGCAGAAUAGUAGGACUUUAUGGUUAGACUCUCAAAAUAGCUUUUUGACAGACUCCAUUACUUAAACGAUGUUUUUUAUUGUGUGUAUAUGUAUGUGAGCAGGUUUACAUGAGCCAUGAUUAUGUAUGAAGGUCAGAGGGUGAUUCUUGGGAGUCAAUUCUUUCUUGCCACACUGUGGGAUCCAGGAAUCAAACUCAUCUUACCAGGCCUGCACACAUAUACCUCUAUCCACCAUCUUAAUAGAGCAGCCUCUUUACUGUUACCCUCAGCCUUCAGGUGCCAUAGGAACAACUUAAGUAAGUGUUCAUUUGCAUAACCAUCUAUUUCCAUCUGCUCUACCUAUAGAGCUUUCAAAUGGUCUCUCACAUGAAUAAAUGGGUCCAUAAAUGAUCUCCUCAGCCUUCUCAGGAGAAAACUAAGAGUUGAAUAAAAGUCAAUCUUCUGACACUGAACUUAAAAAAAAGAAUAAAUAAAAAGGACAUACUAAACAUGAUUUACUUUUUUUCAAUAAUGAGUUGAAAGGCACCUUUGGUUUUAUUGUGCCUUGAAGCUAUUUGACUUCUAGAUAAUGGCCUAGAUAUGAAGUAGACAGGUUCUGUUUGUGUAUGCAUUUAGCAAACUUAUAUUGGCCAUCUCUAAGCAUUAUAUAAUUUACUAGGCAGUGGGGAUUUAGGAGUGAGAAAGGGGGACAGAUAUUCUACUUUUGUUAAGAAUUUGUGUUAAUGAGAAAAGCAGAUAAAUAUGUUAGUCAAAUGAAAUAUGUUUCAUAGUAACACAAGAUAAGAAUAUAAGAUAGGGAAGUGGGAUAAAAAUUUAUGCAUACUGUGGGAGCAGAAAGACACUGAGAUGUUACUGGCUUUUCUUUUUCUUUUCUUUUUCUUAUUGACAGGCUCAUGUAGUCCAGGGCGGCCUCAAACUUGCCAUGUAGUUGAGGAUGACCUUCAACUUCUGGUGCUUCUGGUGCUACUCUACCUCUGUAGUGCUGAGAUUAGAGUCAUAAAAUAAGACACCUCCAGGUGGUGCUGGAGAGUGAACCCAAGGCUCUGUGCAUGCCUGACAAGCACUCUGCCAACUAAAUGAGCCAUACAUCCAACCCAGAAGGUAAUUUUUAGACAUAGGUUUCAAGAGAGGUAGACUCUUUGGGAAAAGUCAUUUCUGGCUAGGGACUUGUAAGAACAAAAGCUUUAAAUGCGUCCACUGUUCUAAGGAAUGCAGAGCGGUUUGGAGGAGUAGAACACAGCAGACAGAGGAAAUGCAGCCAGAAAGCGAGGCAGACAGAAAUGGAGGGCCAAUUUUACAAGACCUGAGAGGCCAAGAGUGAGGACUUUGGUUUUAACUUUGAGUGGGGCAACAGUAGUUCCUUUAAAAAGAGAAUAGAAUUGUAACUUCUAUUUGUGCAGAAAACAGGUUGAAGGAAGAAAAGUCAUAAUAGAGAAAGCCAUUAUGGGUUGAUUGUAAUGUCAUAAGGACCAGCAUGGGAGGCAAGGAUGCUAAGACAUUGUGAAACUCAGAAUACAGAUUUAAGAAGAAGGGGAUGGCACAUGACUAUAGAUCUUGGUUACAGUAUGAGAACCAGAAAGAGAGAAGGCAAGAGUGACCAUACAUUUUUUCAGAUAACGUUACUGAAAAAUAACAUUGUAGUUAAAGGGGAAAGAUCAUUACACUGAUGGCCAUGUGGAGUAGAAGCUUGUGAGUGCAGAUGUAGAGAAGUUAAUUACGCUUAUGAUGCCUGACAUACAUUCAGCUGAGAAAAGGACCAUGAACAUGAAGCUCAUGUGGGAGGUUCAAUGUUUGGACUCCAGAAAGCAAACCAAAAAGUCAUUCACACAGAGAUAGGACUUGACCUUAUGAGUCUAAGACAAAGGGACAAGCCUAGGUGCUCCAAACUGAAAGGUUUAGUACUGACAGUAAACCUACAUUUUUUUUUUUGGCCUCUUUUCAGAAGGACAAAUAUAAGUAUGGCCACCUGCGGCAGGUGAAACAGGUCUUUCUAGAAACAGUCCGGGCUGUUGACUGCUACUCCCAAGGAACUAAAUGUGAGAAUUGGGGUGUGGAGGUGAAGCUCAUUUGUGACCUCUAGAAUAUACAGUUUUCAGUAAGAAAGGGAAAAUGCCAACUUUCUUACAGGAAAAUGGAAUACCCUUUUAUGUGAGUUUGGAAUGCAUUUCUAGCUUUUAAAUAUCAGGCUGGCUUAAAUGCCAGAUCUAUUUGUUUGUAAGAAAAUUUAAGUGAUGUUGCCUGUCAUUUUACAUUUAAAGGAUAAGUUCAUGGUACAAGCAUUCAUCUCCUUUCACUUUAUUUCAAAGAAGGCCAUGUAAAUAAAGGAGCUUUUAAAAUAUGGGUAUUGUUAGAAUAAACAAAUUCGAUAAAUUUACUGCUAAUAAAACAUAAUUGAUAUUUUGUUACAUAUCUACACAAAUGAUAAAUUGAAUGGGUGACUAUGAAACUAUAGAGUUGGUAUGUUCAUUGGGGCUGAAAGGGUUCUAGUGGAUGAGAUGCAGGAGCAAAUAGAAUUUACAGGAGUCAAAUAUGAUGACCACUGUCGUGUCAAUGAAAUACUCUCAUGUCUAAACAUGAAUAAGCGGCACACGUGACAUUUUAAUUGCAGAUUUUAACUGUAAGAAUCUACAUAGUACAUUUGAAUUUGAAAAUUAGGGGUAAAGAAAAAAUACUUUGCGAUUUUUUUUCUCCAGACCCAAAAAACAUUGUUUUUAUUUUUCACAGUCUUAAAAACUCAGUAAUCCAUCCUGGAUAAACUGAUAGAUCAACAUUAUGAUUCAGAGUAUUAUUUUUGAAAACUAAUUACAUUUGUUAUUUUAUGUGCAUUAGCAUUUUGCCUGCCUAUCUCUGUUUGUGCGAAGUGUCAGAUCUUGGGGUUACCAACAGUUUUGAGUUGUCAUGUGGGUGCUGAGAUUUGAACCUGGGUCUCCUGGAAGAACAUUUAGUGCUCUUAACCACUGAUCUAUCCGUCCAGUCCCCAGAAUAUUAAUUUAUAGGCCAGAAGGUCUGAGUUACUAUAACCGAUAUGUAAGUAAACAUGACAAGGCUAACUACCCAAACUCCAGGGUUGGUUACCAGACCUGUUUCAUCAGGUUUGUGUCUUGGCAGAAGAAGGGCAGGCAGUGAGGCAUAAGAAAUGACUAUGAGGUCACCAUGCAGUAAAGCUUGAGGAAAGAGCAGAGCUAUCUUGAAAUAUAGAUUUCAGUGGUCAGUAGACUCUCUACAGUUAAAGCUUUAUUUGACAUCUUCCCUUCUGUUAAAAACUGCUGUGAGCCACUCCCCUUCAGUGUAAAAUGCCAGGGUCGUGCUGUGUAUAUGUACAUGUGCAGGUAUACACAUGUGUGCUAAGCAAGUACUCAACUGCUGAGCUUGAGCCCUCUUGGUUCUUAUAAAAAUUUUUUGAAUUCACUUAUUUUAUGUGUAUACACUGUUUGCCUACACGAUUGUUUCUUUACCACAUGCAUGCCUGGUAUUUGAGUGGGUCCGAAGAGGGCCUUGGAAUUGGAGUUACAGAGGGUUGUGAACAGCUCUAUGAAUGCUGGGAAAUGAACCUAGGUUCUCUGCAAGAGCAACAACUGAGCUAUCUCCAGCACCAUACCCCCCCACCCCUUCUCUCUCUCUCCUUUUGUUUUUUUACUUUUAGACAAUGGCUCACUCUGUAGCCCAGGUUGUCCUCAAACUGCAAUUUUCCUUCCUCCAUUUUUCACACUUGGGACUAAAGUCAUGAGUCACUGUAUCCUUCAGUUAAAAAAAAAUGAAUCAUUGUUUAUUUCUUGCUUAAUUCUUAAUUCUCAGCUAAUUAUUUGGUUAACUUUACAAACUCUAGAGCUAAAUGAAUAGUUACAGCUAUUACAGUGAAACACUUUGUGCUAACAAUUUUAAUGUCACUAUGCCAAGAGCGAAAUCUUAAGUGUAUGAACCAUGCCAGAACUAGCCUUAUGGGGCCUGUCGCUGCCUGUGUGAGAAACAUGUUACACAAGUAUGAAAUUAUGUCAUGCUCUUUGUAUUAAUGAUGUCACAUAGCCAUUCCCCUAAUAUAAUUGUAUUAUUUUGUAAACACUGCCAGUCAUAUUGAUGUGCUUUGAAAGACAGAGGUAUAAUAUGAACUAACCUUCAUAGUUUCUAUGUUAGAAACAAACGAAACAAUAAUAAAACAUGUAGAGAAGUGGGCAUGGUGGAAAAGACAUGUAAUCCUAGAAUUGGGGAAAAGGAAGCAGAGUUAUGAGGAUGAAGCCAACGUGGGCUGCUCAGUAAGACCUUGAACGAAUGAACAAUGGAACAAAUGAAACAAAAUGUGGGGAGGGGCCAGUGUUUUCAAGUCUCUGAAGUCCACCUUCCUGUUUGAAUCCCAGAUUUCUCUCAUAAAGGUUCAUAACUGAGAAGGAUAUUUUGUAUUUGCUAUGUCUCAGUUUCUUAGCUUAUAGAUAACAAUAACCUCACUGCUUCUUUCAAAUAUUAAAUCAGACCAAAGAUGCAAAAUAUUAGAACAAUGUCUGACAUAGUAGAAAGCACUUAGUACCUGUAAUCCAGAAAUGGUUUUAAGUAAAUAUAUGAACAGAAAGAGCUUAGUGGUUUAGAGUACUUGUUUCUUUCACUAAGAACCCAGCUUCACUUCCCAGAACCCACAUGAUGGCUCACGACAUCUGUAACUCCAGUUCCAGGGGAUCUGAUGCCGCCUUCUUCACUCCGAGGGCAGCAGGCACUCACAUGGUGCACAUACAUGCAUGUAAAGUAAAACAUUCAUAUGCAUAGAAUUUAAAGAUUUAAAAAGAAUCAUACAGGAACACUCUCAUCUUUAUUGUCACAAUCUGUAGUAUAUUCUGAAUUAAAUUAUGCAUAUAAAGUGCCUUUGUGGAGAAUGUACUCUUGAGAUCAUAGCCUCCCACGGUCUUAUUCAUGAAAUCCAUAUUCUACAAGUAUUUUCCUACAAAAUACUCAAAUACUUAUCUUGUUUACAUAUUUUACUGUUGAAGUACUAAGAUAAUCCACAUUUUCCUCCUGAGAAAACUGGAUGGAGACGUUAAACAUCUUUCAGAGAGUGGCAGAGUAACUGAGAGAGCUGGAAAUAAAUCCAGGUCAGUUGGCUUCUGCAGCUGGGUAUUUUGUACUUCCUGUUACUGCCUCAGGUUUUACUGAAUGAAUGCCAGGAAACUUAGAGCAUUUGAAGAUUUGGUUGGACUCCAGAGUACAGUGUUAGGGAGAACCACUUUACAGUCAAUGUGACCUUAAACGUGAUGCACACACGAAUGAGGAUACUCAGAGGCAGAACAAGAAAGCCACUAGGAAUAUCAUGGUAGGGAUAACACUGUGUUUGGAAGAUGGGCUUUUAAAAAUAGAGGCUGAAGAGAAGGAGCCUUUCAAAGGUGAACAGACUUUAAACAUGCAUGCCUCAUAGCCAGGGAUUGGACUGCCUCCUUUGGCCUUAAAGUUAAGGACUAUCUCUUGUAGGUUGAUGUCGUUAGGCAGGUGAAGGCAGACACAAGAUAAAGCGAGGCAUGUCAUUGGAUGAGAAGGAAGGGAGGCAGGAACAGAAGUUUUAGAAGGAGAGUGAGAAGCAGAAGAGGAGACAACAUGGAUGCAGAUGUAAACAAUCCUCACCAUCAUCUCUAAACAGAUACAGGAUGAUACGAAUAUUUCUUGAGGGAUGGAUUUCUAUAGGUCAAUUUAUCUUAUCUAGGUAGGCGGUUUAUAUCUUUAUCAAUUGGUUGUGAGUUUAUUGUGUGGAUGUAUUGUGGACUGAGAAUUUAACAUAUAAAUCUGAUUGUUGGCUUGCAGUUUGUUGAGUCUUGAGUUUACCAGGUAGCUAGGACCAGAGAAUUCAUGGCUAGUAGAAAGCCGCUGGAAGAGAUACUAACCAGAGAUAGAUUGUGGUCAGUUCCAUAUAGCCCUACAGGUGCUGGAACUAACUCUAAAGACCAGUGUGGAACAGCUCGUGGACUGCUUGGGUCUGAGAGUACUUGGGUGCGUCAUGGGGCAGCUGAGAUAAAAGUAUCCCACAGUGCCACGUAGCCCCAUGGGUGUUAGUGCUAGUGCAGUAUAAAAGGUUUAGCCAUUUUUUUUUUACCACAACAAUCUCUUUCUUUAUGAUGAGUUGUAGGACUUGAGGGUUUCUGUAAGCAUUUGCCUUCUCCCGUUCUUCCUUCUUCCCCAGGCUGUGAUCUCCAUAUUACUUUUAAAGAGCCCCUCCCUUCCUUCCUUCCGUCUCAAUAUCUUGUAUUUGCCUUGCCCCCUGCAACCAGAUGGUUGCAAGAAUACCAGCAAGAAAGCUGGUAUUCAACUAUCUGUCUUGCACUGGUCAUCUUGUCCACUUGUCUCUGUGAGCUGGAAUCAACACAGAGGAGGAAGAUAACAUCUCUGCCCACCAGACAUGAGUUGUGUAGUUUAAGUUAGUCACUGGUUAUAUGGUGAAAGUCAUCCAGAAAGUCUAUGUUCAGAUAAAAAUUUACUGGCUGAAAAGUGUCUUCUCUUUCAGGGAAGAAAACUUUGAAUCUCUUAAUUAAAAAGUCUCCCCUCUCUCUGCCCGUCAACUCUGCCUACCACUUUUGGGUUGGUUAGUAUUCUAAAGUUGGUACUUCUUUUAGUUAUGCCCCAACCCUACAACUUCCUCAGUCCGGGUAUAGUCCAGUCUCCAUAGUCUGUUGUUAUGUGUAAUUUUCUUCUGGCCCUGUACUCUUUUCCUUGGUAUAUAUCUUUCACCUGGUAGAAAUCUGAACUCUUCUUUCCUCUCCCUUCCUGUCCACUAGUAGGCCAAAUCACAUGAGUCCUGAGUCUCUCAGGCACAUUACCACUCCACACCCUGAAGAUCUGUCCUCAGGUCAGCCAUCUUGGAUCAUAGUUAAAUUCCACUGGUUUCCCUAGCAUUUCAUCAUGAAGUCAUUCAUGGAUCAUGUAUGAAACUCAGCUCUGCCACUGAAGGGAGGGGUGAUGUAAGACUGAUGACUUAAUUGUUAAUCCACAGAAUGAGGGGAUUACAAAUUUUGACCUCAUCUGCUCUCCUUGAAGAGUAAAUAAAAUAAGUGUGUUUUGCUUAACCCAGUGAUUGGCAUACAUCUUAAGCCCAUAACAAAGGGAUUAAUACAAGUAAUUUAAAAAUUAAAUAUUACAAUUUUAAUCCUACUUCCCAUGUUGUCAUUUAGAUUUUGAUUAUCUUUCUCUCUUUUAUUCAGAAUUCCUCUAUUUUCCUAUUACAUUCAUAAUAUCUUAGGAUGUUUGUCAUUUAUAAUACAAUAUUUUAACAAUCAAAUUAAAUAGUGAGCUUCUAUGAUGACUUUUUAUGCAUGUAUAUUACUGCCCUUUGCUAUAGCCAUUCUCCCCAUAACUUUCUUAUGCAAUAAAUUUUUUAAUCAAUGUGACUAUUGAACUUUUUUGGUAGAGAAGAAACUAUAAAAUACAUGCUUUCAAAGAGUCUAAAGAAAGAAAUUUUUAAAAAAGAUUUACUUAUUUUUUGGCAUGACUAUUUGCUUGCAUGUAGACAUACCCCACACUUGAAGUAAGGAGGCCAGGAAAGGGCAUUAGAUUUCUCAUAAUUGGAGUUACAGAUGGCAGUGAGCUGCCAUGUUUGUGCUAGGAAUUGAAUCCAAGUCAUCUGGAAAGGUGCUUUCAAGCACUGAGACAUUUCUCCAGGCCCAAGAAAGCAUGCCUUAAAGGACACAUUCAUUGCUUUGCACUGAUUGAUUGAAGUUCUGAUUGAUUCAUCUAUCCAAUUGAUAGCUGGGCAUGUAAUACAUUCCAGAUACAGGAGCACCAGAAAGAUUCUGACCCAAAGGGGAAAAUGUCAUACAUCAUCAUGACACAAAAUAAAAGUCUGAAGCAACUGUAUAGAAAAAGCACAAGCAAGUUCAGAGGAGAAAACGUUAGCAACCUGAAGCUUGGCAGAGGAAGAAGCCUUGAGGUGUCCUAGAAACUGACUGAAAACUAAGAGGGGAGAAUGGGUGAGGCUAUCUUCACAAUGAAGGAGCAUGUGUUAGCACAGGAUUGCAAAUGGAGCGGGCAAGUGCCCACAGUGAAAAGCAGUCCACAUGGGGGCCUCUAAAAGCACUUUCCAAAGCUUGCUUGACAACCAUGGGCUUUCUUUUAAUUAACACCAUUGUGGACUUGUGGGAGAGGUUAGCAAAUGUGUUUGCUGUCCCGCUGUUUCUAAUGAUUUUUGGUUAUGGGAUUUCAAUUUAGUGUGAGUUCUCGCCGUUCGAUAUAUUCACUCACGCUGCUGUCUGUCAGCCUACCUGCUUCUAUGAGACCUCACUUUAGUCUCUAGAGAAGUUCCUGUUGGGACAAAAUCAUGGAAUGGUGGAUGGACCCUUUUGGGUUUUGUCUUCAGAGUGGUUUUUAAACUGAUCACUUUCUCUGCAGGAAACAUACUGUGAUGGUACAUAAUGUAGACCAACCAUUGUUUCGCCUUUUUCCAAAAAAGACUAUGGACUCCAGGAAGCAUGCUCAGAACCCAGAUUUGUAAUUACCAGCUCAGUCCAGCUUUGUCCAAGAUAGGGAAACAAAGAGGAAAUUAGAAAGGAAGUCUCGAAGCUUCUUAAGAUGUUUUAAUAAAUUAUCACAGCAUGGAUAAUGUCCAGUGUGAUUCCUGAUGUUUGGAGGGCAGAGACCAUAUCCUACCUUUCCCUCUGUGGGGUGGCACUUAUUUACACAAAAUCUGAUGCACUGACAGAGGAAUUUCUAAUAGCUCAGUGGGUACCAUCAUUCGUAUGUAUCAUGAGCCACCUUCUUGUGAGUUACUGAAGGUUAGUUAGCUAAAACCUCUGCAUGAAGCAGGCAAUUGUUUUCACAAGGCACAGUGAUUGAAAACAAGGCCAAAACCAAAACACUGUGGCAAGUUUGAGAGUUGUGGUACCAUUAAGAAAAGUCAAUAAAAUAAGGCCUCAAAGAGAUUGAAUGAGUUGGGUCACACCUUUGUAUAGGAGAAAAACUGAGAUUCAAACGCCAAAUAAUAUGUUUCUUAGUUUUCUAGUGGCUUACUUUUCAAGUUCAUUCUUGUUACAUAGUCAGUCUCUAUUCUUACCGUUUCCAUCCAUUGACCAUCAAAACAAACAGAAAAGCAAAUGUCUUCAUGUAGAAGUCUCUCUAUCCCAGUCCUUCCUCCCCAUCUCUGUUUCCACCUCCAUUUCCUAGCACAGUCUUUUGCCUGGACAAUACUUCCCCUUCUGUGUAGGGUCUGUCUAUUCCCUUCCACCCCAGCCUCUCCACUCAUUUACACAACACACAUGAAGGAUCUUUUUAAAGCACUCUCGCUGUCUGAUAUCUUUUAAUGCCUCUUUGUUCUUGGGAUAAAGGGACUUUAAAGGUUUAAGUGGCUUUUCCCUUUCAGAUUAUACCAAAUAAUAUUUGCUUGUUGACUUUUUAAGUCGCCAUCCCUCUCAACCUUGCUCUGCAUCCAAGAAAUCUAUACCCAAGGGUCAUGCUUGUCUUCUGCCGGGUUUGGCAAGCAGAGAACAUUAGUUGGAGGCCCAAAGAAGGGAUGGGGCAAGAGUGGAAGUUUGUCCACUGGUUCCUUUGGCAGGAUCUUGGCUUGGCAGGUGAACAUUUUUGAGUCAAGAAAUUGUUUCUUCCUCUUUUUGGCUUUUCCUGUGUCAGAAGGCUAUCUGUUCCCUGUGGUUAACAGUUCUGAGUAUCUCUUAGGUUUUAUUAUAAUGGGCCCUUUUUGUAAGUAACCCUUUGUUUAAAAUUUUCUUAAAGAUUCACUUUAAAUUUAUGAGGUACUCCUUGUUAAGAUUUUGGUGUUGCCUUGUGUGGUAGAUGUAAACUUGGUCAAUGCUCAACUUACUCUUAACUGUAAUUACUCUAAAAGUGGUUACCUCUGAAACACAUGGUCUUACCCAUGCAUCUGUAGAACUUGGUGUAUGCUGCUCCGUCUGCUUGAACUUCCACCCCCUUUCAGAGGUUCCACUGAUGCUGACUGGACCAUUUAGGUCUUGACUUUAAUUACUAACUUACCUGACCUCUUCCAACAAUACAAACGAUGAUGCUACAUGUCACCUGCUCUAUCAACCCUGGAAGCUCAUUGACUAUGUGUCUCAAAAUGGACAUUGCCUUUGAGGCCUGGAGCUGGCCCACUUACCCUGACAAAUACACUGUCUAGUACAGAGUCUAGAAGCAACAUCACUUAGGUUUGAAGACUUUUUUAUUUGAAUAUUAUUAUCGUUCUUUUCCAAUUUUUACUUUGCAGAAAGCUUUCUCUGGUGUUUUCCUUGCCCCCAACUAUGAAGUUAUCACUAUUGUUGGAGGGACACUGAGUAAGUAGCACAGAACAAUGGAGAGCACACUCCUGUGCACACUGCUAUACACAUUCCUGUACACACUGCUGUACACAGUCCUAUACACAGUUCUGUACACUGCUGAACACAUUCCUGUACACACUGUUGUGCAUACUCCUGUACACACUGCUGUACACAAUCCUGUACUUACUGCUGUACACACUGUUGUACACAUACCUGUAAACACUCCUAUACUCACUGCUGUACAUACUCCUGUACACACUGCUCCACACACUCCUGUACACUGCUGAACACACUCCUGUACACAUUCCUGUAAUACUGCUACAUAUAUUUGUGUACACACUCCUGUACACACAGCUGUUCACUGCUGAGCACACUGCUGUACACAACUGCUGUACUUAUUAAGGUGCAGAUAGUUCCUUGCCUAACUCUCAGACCAUUUAAGGGCUUAAGAAAAAGAAAGAAAAAUGAAAUACAAGAAGAAAUGCUCUUUAAAGAAAAGAUAGGAAUUAAAACAUUAGUAAUUUUUGCUGAGUCACACAUUCGAGAUGGGACUUCAACCUAUAGUUCAGGUAAGCUUGAGUUUACUAUGUAGUCCAGGAUGGUCUACACUGCUCUUCCUGCUUUAGCCUAUGGAGUGCUAAAUGCUAUAAGUGUGUAGCACCAUAUCUGUCCCCUUGAUCUUAUAUAUAAAAUUUCUCUGCUGCGUCAGACGUACAAUCCUUCAUUUCUGCUAAUUUUCAAAAAUCUACUUGCGACUGCCAAAUCAAAAACUCACCUUAACAUCCCACCAUUCUCUUUUCUCCCUUUCCCUGCUUUUCUUUCUUCCCUUCAUUCCAUAUCUCUCCCUUCAUCUCUCCCUCCCUUGUCCCUCCCUCCCUCUCCCCUCUCUUUCUUUUCUUUCCCUCCCCUCCCCUCCCCUCUCUCCUUUCAUUCUUACUUGUUUCAAUUUUAGAGACAGAGUCUCACAGUGUAGCACUCAAAUGCCGGGUGCCAGGAUUACAGGUUACCAUCUGUGCAGAUGUUCUUAAUACCCACCUGGCUCCUGCUAACAGCUUCCUGAUGCUGGGACCACUGGGAAGACCAUGCUGCAGCUGGAUUAUCCUGCUGAAAUUUCAAUACCCUGAUGCAAUUGCCACCAUGAGCUACCAAUUGCCUCAUAUUUGGCAAUAAAGAUUUUGUUGACUAGGUGCACAGACUCUAUGCUGCCCAUCAGUUUGGGAAUUACUCUGCUAUUUGUGAUGGUGACAACACACACAGAAGCAUAAAGAUAAGGAUUACAUAUAAAAAUGUCAUGUCAUAACUUCUGAGAAACUUUAAAGAUACUGGUAAGGGUCUGUGAUACAGUUUUGAUUAGAAAAGUUAGCAGGCUUGAUUGUCUGUUUGUUGUGUUUGUUCGUUGUUUGCUUGUUUGUUUUGAUUUUGGUUUCCUGUUUUUACCCGCCAGUUUGACUUUUGAAACUGCUAUCCCCCUGCUCACUCCUAAUGGCAGAGGCCCCUAAAUUGGGCUGUCGCACCACUACCAUGGAACAUUAAUUUUCACCUGGGUGUAUCAUAGAGCCACAUUUUAGUAAGGUAUUCUGUGAGCUAACACUUGGGAUUGGGAUUUUGAUAAAUUAGUUUGAAUUGAGGGUAUUUCUACAAUAGCUUCAUUCUCACACAUACUUUAAUUCUAAGUUGCUUUCUUGUUUGUAAAUAAGAAGGAUGCCAUCCCUGUGAGUGCAUACAAAGAUGUCUACCACACUUAUAUCACAUGUGACCCUUUGCUACGUGAAUUCUCAUGAUCUCAUCUCCAUGAAGUGUAUGUUUCAGACAGGUAUGGUGACAACCCACUUUUAAUUCCAGCACUCUGGAGAUAAAAAAAACAAAAAACAAAAAAUGGAUAUUUCAUUCGUAUUAUUGCAUUUCGCAGUUAAGGAUGCAUUUUACAGCUGACCAGUGGAAUAGUAAGUAACAGUGCAGAUGAGCUUAUGGUGGAUGAACUUAGGUUCAGAAUUGAUUAUGCCAGGACCAUUUCCCAUUCCUUAAAAAAUUCCCUUUAUUUAGACUCAUUGAUUUGUACAACGUUGCUCUUGGUGUCAUUCCUCUCAUAACUUUUCAGGCUGAUAACUCAGUUUUUAAAAUACUGUGCAUAUGUAUGUGACAGAUUCCAUGUUCUUAUGAAGCAAUUCCGUUUUGUAGGCAUUGUACCUAGUCAUGUUUCAUAUUGUUAGGUAAAUCAACACUGGUCAAGAGAUGGAGAAAACAAAACAAAACACAUCUCUAAUCAUGGCGGAUUCUGACUAUGGUAGAAUGAAACGGAAGCCCCUUCUCAGUAAAUGGAACCAUGUCUCAUAGCAGUCUAUUGAAUAAAAUAAUUGUAUUAUGCUAUAGCCAGAAAUAACCAAACAUUGGCUACCAGCUCUCAUAAGACGAGUAUAAAGCUGGGGGGUGGGGAGAAAUUACAGGGUGGGUAGGUGAUAAUUGUGGGCCAGUGAAGGGGACAAUUUUCAGCCCUGUCUUUCACAGUUCCUGAAAUUAAAAUUUGUUUAUGUGCUGUAUGGAUGUUCAAUCCAUGACUGUGGCAGGAAUGGAUAUAUCUGAAAAAGCAUCAUAUAUAAGCAAUAUGAAUGAUUGAUGCUGAAGAGGAAUGGUGAUUCCCCCAACCCCUGGUCAUUGUUCCCAGGAUCUGUGCACAGCAGAGUGGAAGUCUAAUCUCAAUGGUCUGGCCUUGGUAGUGAAGUUGGAUUGGAGGUUCCAUCUGUGUCAAUGUUUAGAGCUUCUUAUCUUCAAGGUCCUAUUCUAAGAGCUUAAUACAUAUCAACUCAUUUAAUCUUCACAUCAUUUUAUAAGGUUAUCUCAAUUUUUCUAGUCAGGAGACUGCUACCUAGAGAGGGUAAGUACAUUGCUGAAAAUUUCACAGUUGAUAAGUGACAGGUCUAGGAUUCCAUGCCAGGGAGUCUGGCUCCAUAGCAUGCUGUGGUCACUUAUCCACAAUGCCUCUAUUCAUUCAACAGUUGUUCUUUAUUUUAGCCAUUGCUUAGACAGUUCCUUUGAGGUCACGAUGUAUUUGGUCUGUCUCUGAUUUGAGCGGUGAGAAAUUCAGAUCCAGGCUGCAGAAACUUAGGCUGGUAGGUGUUGGCAGGUGGAGAAGACAUACAUCCAAGAUGUAAGUCACUUGGAUAAAGUGCAGGCUUCUGGAAGAAGUCUUAACACUUUGCUCAAAAUGUGUUUUCCAUUACAGCAUUAAAAUGGCAUCUUCCCUCCCCCUGCAACUCUGAGAACACAGACAACUGAUAUGAGGAAAAGGGGCUGAUCUAUUUCCUUCCUUCCUUCCUUCCUUUCUUCCUUCUGUCCUUCCUUCCUUCCUUCCUUCCUUCCUUCCUUCCUUCCUUCCUGUUUGUUUUUGGUUCUGGCACUGAAAAAAGAGUAGCCAAAGUAAUGUCCUUAGGAAACCUUCCAUAGCUGCAUGUCAACCUACUUUCAUACUCUUAGAAUGAAAAGCUAACAUCUCUAUAAGAUACAGCAUCAAAAGAAAAUUCUUUAUAUCUUUUAAAUCACUGUUCAAUGGGGAAGUUAAUGAAAAAUUAUAGACACAGAUUUGUAUCAUAAAUGAUCCUUUUGUUAUAGUUUUUGUCUUUUAGAGGAGAAAGAUUCACCUUUUAAAACUCUCUCUCUCCCUCUCUCUCUGCACUAGAAUACAUUCUCAACCUAAAUUAAAGCUCUUAUAUUGUUGUUUAAUAUCUAGGCAGGAAAGUACCUUUUGCUUAGGACUUCCCUUUGAAUAUAGGUUAACAAAGUUCCCCCCAAAAAGUGUCCAUUUGUGUAUCAAAGGUCGUACUUGGACAUUUCUCCUUUAGCCUUUAGCUGUAGUAGAGUUUGAAGGAAAUGUCCUAAAUGCAGAUUAGAGUUCGGCUUGUGGAAUAAUCCAUGAGGCAAGCGUGGAGGACUAAUGAUCCUUUUUCAGCUUUCACAAAUGGGAGAACAAAGGUCUGUUCUUAGUGCCCAGCAAAAGGGUACCAUAAGGGAAACGAUAACGGUUUAAAUGGCCUUCUCCAAAUGCUUGGAGAGAAAUCAUUUCCUUACCUCACUAACAGAAGGCAAAGACAUUGAAAUCAUCGCUUAAAUAUGGAUAGUAAAGAGAUGGGGUGUGCUUUUCUAGGGUGUAGUUUUGGGUAAUGAAUGAAAAACAGGUUCCUAUAGACCCUUCAGUGCCUGGCACUACAAUGUCCACAUUGUGUCCUGGACUUGGUGCGUUUUACUCAGAUACUCAGAUGCCGACAAUCAUUAUUAACAUGUUUUCUCCUCCUCAACAGCACGGCUAUUAAGAUUAGGCUUGGGAGCCUUCACUUGCUUAUUUUCAUAAUGAGUUAUGAAUUAAGCUUAUCUGCCUUUGGUAUUUCUUUUUGGCUCCACAAUAAUGUUGAAUUAAAUGUGUUCUUUCUUCUUAUCUAUUUGGAAAAUGAGACUGUGUCUGUCUUUAAUUCCAUUGUGGAAAGUUGAGGAAAAACAUAUGUGCCUUGUAACUGCCAAGAAGAAUAUCUUUAGUAAACAAACCUUGCAUUAAUCUUUGUGAGUGCCCUGAGGUCACUAUUAGCAAUCUUUUUGACAUGCUACAGUCUCUUAGGUUCAGAUAUACAUAUAUAUAUAUAUAUAUAUAUAUAUAUACACAUGUAUAUAUAUAUAGUAUGUGUGUGUGUAGGAAAAAUAUAUUUAUAUAUUUAAAUGCAUAUAUUUAAAAAUCUGAUUCUUUUACCAUCUUUACAAGUUCUCAACAUUGUUAUAUUCUAAUAGUUACUGCAAUUAUAACUCAAUAUACCAUAAGUUAUAUUGUAAAUAAAUGUGUGCCUGCUACACUUCUAGUUGCAUAGGCUAUACACAAGCCAGUAGCAUAGCAAAAUCUGUCCCUGCUGUGGAAUUUAAUUUUCACUUGGGAUAAGAGAGUCUAUAGGCAGAUAAACAGCAACAACAAAAAUAUUUAAAAAGGCAACUCUAGGUGGCAAACACCGUGAAUACACUCAUAAGGGCCAUGAAGAAAUUAAAACAGACCCCCAUUGUGCCAAGAGAAAUGGUGACUCAGCAGCAGAAACUCUGGCCUUCAAGUUUGCCUUCUGUAUAAUCUUGGGGAACAUUAUUUCCCUAUAUUGGAUCUUAGUUUUAUCCUCUCUAAAGCAGGGAGCAGAGGCUAGAGAUAUAACUCAGUAAGAGAGUGCCUCUCUAGCAUACACAGUACCCUGGACAUCGAAUAAAUGGGCAUGGAACUCACUCUAAAUUCCAGCACUCAGGAGGCAGAGGCAAGCGGAUCAGAAGCUCAAGGGCAACCUUGGCUACUGAGAAUCAUUUUUUUACCAAAGAAAGGGGAGGGUCAUAACUCUCAUUUCAUAGUUUAUAUUUAGGGCUUACAAGAAUGAGAAUGUUAGAAUGUUUAGAAUAAUGUAUGUCAUAUAUAUUAUAUAUAUGUAUAUAUAUGAUACCUUAAUAUUUUAGUGUGAUGUUGACCUCUUUUUGGAGAUGAGAAAUCUGAAGGUUACAGAAAGAAGCCAAAUGACUUUGAGUAGGUUGUGCAUCUGAAGGGAUGUAGAAACAUUGUCUUACAAUCUGACCCUGUUUUCAAAUAUUCUUUUGUCUCUUCUUACAAGUCCUCCCCCCUCCUCCUCAAACACUUAUUAAGGAAGCCCAUUAUAGCCAUACUCUCUCAUUGUUGUUAGAGAUAAUAAAUAUCUACUGACAGUAAGCCCUAUCUGUCUCAUUUUUCUGAUAUACAUAUUUUUUCUCUUACCCUCUCUUUGCUUUGCUAUUACCUUGAGACAGACUUCAUCUCCUCAUACACAUUUGGCAUGACUUUGUUCAAGUAGAAAUCACUAAUUAUCAAGCUGACACACAGCACUGGGGAAUCUCAUGCAUUUUGCUCUCACAGUGGAGGCCUCUGCAUCAGGGCCGAGAGCACCGGAGAGAAUUUCCAUUUGUGAUGCCCCAGAUUUCAGCCACUUAACUGAAAUUCAAAAUUGCUACUGUUUUUCCUUUUCAUGACCUUUUCAGAUGUCGUUUUUUUUCUCUCUCUCUCUAAUCACAGUUCCAUUUAGAACAGAUGACAUUCAGAAAUCCGUACUUCAGUGGUAAUCUGAAUUCUUUUUAUAUCCAGUUUGAAACCCUAAUCACUGCCCUCUUUCCUUCUAUUGCUCAGACACUUGGUAGGUAUUUUAUUAAGCAACAUCUUGCCAGAUUUGAAAGUGCUUUCUCAGAGCCAAGGGGAGUUCUGGAGCAGGUCAGCAGCCCAGAGGAGAUAGGCAGAGAUUAAGUCACACAGAUACAAGUUUAAUAAGGCUUCCAAGGGAAGUGUCAAACCCAAGCGUUUCACUUCCAUUAGUUGUGAGACUACAGCUUUUUACACCUUCCUAAAAAAUGAGGGGUCUAGGUGAGGACACAGAGGGAGGUGGCUAAAACCUUGUUCUUGCUGGAAAAUGUGUUGUCAAGGGGCCUGAGAGCCAACCUGGCCACUGUGGAUUUUCACCUUGGCUUUCUAAUUAUCAUGUAGCUUUUUUUUCUUUCAGAUUUUUAUUCCUUCAUCUGAAAAAUAAGGACAUAACCAUGUCCAAUUAUGUCGUAUGAGGAUUAAAUGGCAUAAGAUAGUGGCUCCCAACCUGUGGGUCACAUAUAUAUCAGAUAUCCUGCAUAUCAGAUUACGGUUUAUAACAGUUAACAAAAUUUCAGUUAUGAAGUAGCAACAAAAUAAUUUUAUGGUUGGGUCACCACAACACCAGUAACUGUUUUAAAGGGUCAGAGCAUUAGGAAGGUUGAGAGUCACUAGCGUAAGACAUACCACGAUUUAGACAUACCAGUGACUCCAUAAUGGCAAUAGUUAUUAGUGCCACAUAUUCAUUUGCCAUUGCUUUUGAACACUUCAAACUAGUUUAUUUGACAUGUGGACUAUUGAUGUUAGCGUAGAGCAGAACAGGUGGGGUUCCUUUUCAGUGCCCAUUUGUUUCUCGCUUAUUUUUAUCUUUAUUUUAAGGAACGAAUUCAGCCUGUACACACAGUCCAACCUCUUUUUGUGAUGCUCAGGUUUAAGAAAAAAGCAUUGUUGACUUUCUUCUAUCUGGGACCAAAGCAAACUGAGACCCAGAUCAGAGCCUAGCUCACCCAGCAUCAGAGAAGAUCUCCCUUUAGUGGAUGGAUGUCAACACAGAGACCCUUAAAUGGACAGCAGGCAGAUAUAAUCGGUCUUAUAUAGAAUGUUAGAGGGGAUAGAUGAUAUCAGGAAAACAGUGCCUUCCAGAUCCAGCAGGACUGGCAUACAUAUGAACUCAAAUGGACUGUAGCAGCAUGCACAGGGCCUGCGCAGUUCAAUCCAGAUGGGGGUGCAAUGGGGAAAGGGAAUGUGGGCAUGGGUUCCAUCCUUAACCAAUAAUCUAUCUUCAAUUGACAUCUGGUUUCAGAAGAAAAAUUAGUUUUCUUCAGUGGAGUCUCUAGGAUAUAGGCGCCACACUUCAGGACAGACUCCAUGCCCAGUAGAUGGCUGACACAAAAUGUCACUGGUAUUUUUUGUAGGCUUUUUGUCUUAUAUUCCUUUGUUAAGUAGGCUUUUUGUUUGUUUGUUUGUUUUUCGUUUUUGGUUUUUUGACCCACUGAGUGAUAGAAGAUGAGGCACCAGGCUGGUGAGAUGACUCAGAAGACAAAGGUGCUUGCUGUGCAAACCUGAAGACCUUAGCUCAGGGUUUGAAGUCAGGUAAAGAUGGGAGGAGAUAACCACUUCCGUAUGUGCUCCAUAUACAUGUGCACCUCUCCUGCAGCUUAAAAUUAAGAAGAUGGGAUUACAGAAUGUGCCAUGUGAGUGGUAAUUUCGGUUCAUUUGAGCACAUCAUGAAACAAUAGACUGUAGCCAGGUAGAAGUGGUCAGAGGGGGCAGACAUACAUGUGAUUUUGACCCAAAAUACUAAAGAAAUCCAAGCAUGACAAACGAGGUGAUGCUUGACAAAUACAUGCUUUUUUCUAAAAAUUACUUUUCAUUUUAUUAACAAGAUACUUAAUAUUUUAUGUUCAGAUAUUAUAAUUACAUAUUCUUUUUUUUUAGGUUUUACUUUUUUUUUUUAUUAACUUGAGUAUUUCUUAUAUACAUUUCGAGUGUUAUUCCCUUUCCCGGUUUCCGGGCAAACAUCCCCCUCCCUCCUCCCCUUUCUUAUCGGUGUUCCCCUCCCCAUCCUCCCCCCAUUGCCGCCCUCCCCCCAACAAUCUAGUUCACUGGGGGUUCAGUCUUAGCAGGACCCAGGGCUUCCCCUUCCACUGGUGCUCUUACUAGGAUAUUCAUUGCUAUCUAUGAGGUCAGAGUCCAGGGUCAGUCCAUGUAUAGUCUUUAGGUAGUGGCUUAGUCCCUGGAAGCUCUGGUUGCUUGACAUUGUUGUACAUAAGGGAUCUCGAGCCCCUUCGAGCUCUUCCAGUUCUUUCUCUGAUUCCUUCAACGGGGGUCCUAUUCUCAGUUCAGUGGUUUGCUGCUGGCAUUCACCUCUGUGUUUGCUGUAUUCUGGCUGUGUCUCUCAGGAGCGAUCUACAUCCGGCUCCUGUCGGCCUGCACGUCUUUGCUUCAUCCAUCUUGUCUAAUUGGAUGGCUGUAUAUGUAUGGGCCACAUGUGGGGCAGGCUCUGAAUGGGUGUUACUUCAGUCUCUUUUAAUCUUUACCUCUCUAUUCCCUGCCAAGGGUAUUCUUGUUCCCCUUUUAAAGAAGGAGUGAAGAAUUCACAUUUUGAUCAUCCGUCUUGAGUUUCAUUUGUUCUAGGCAUCUAGGGUAAUUCAAGCAUUUGGGCUAAUAAUUUCAUAUUCUUAAUAGCAAAAUUCCACAAUUUGGGGAUCUCUGUAAAUUUUGCUUCAUAUUUUUGUUUACAGAAAAAACAAAGAUUAGAAGUGAGAAGGAAAAAGCUUGAAUUGUGAAAAAAAUUUAACUUCUCAGAUAAUAAAACACCUUCAAAAACAUAUUUGACCUUUCAAUAAAGUUUUCACAAAAUAAACAGCCAAAAGAGAUUUAAAAAUUUACUUUCUUACAUAUAAUAUAUAUUAUAUAUAUGAUGUGUGUAUAUAUGUAUGCACAUGCAUGUGCAUGUGCAUGUGUGUGUAGGGAAAAUGUGUUUCUGAUUUUUCCCAUGUGUCCCCAGCCUUCCACAUAAUAUUUUGCAAAUCCUCAUUUAUUUGAAUUUUGUUUUGUUUGUGUUUGGAUGCUGGUAGGGCAGACACACCCUCUCUCACCUGCCAUUACUGACAAUAACAACUUGCCAGUUUCAGAGACAACCACAUUACCUGUAGAGGGCCCUUUGUCUUUCCUGCACUGGCUGACAAUGAGGAGUUGCCACAAAAACUGCCAUUUCUCCUUUUGCUUAUUGGAUGCAUCCCUGCCAUGCAUAUCACUUAUUUUUAAGAAAUCCAAUUUUUAAAAAGAGGAUAGAAAUAGUUAAUGAGUCAGAUCAAAUGGAAUAUAACUGUUUACACUAAGAAGCCAGUGAUUUUAUAAGGUUAUUUCUUAGUGACCUUAAACAACAGGAAUUAAGAGAAGAUUGUCACAUAAUACAGAAGGAUUAUCAUAAGUACCAUCAUGUGAAGAUAUUUAUUGAGUGAAACAAAUUAACUUUUGUCCAUGUUUUCAAGGGGCAAAGUUAACCUUGUUUCAUAUCCCUUUGGAUCCCAGUGACCUCUUUAAAGGAUAUUAAAUGUUUCAUUUUUUUCUAGAAAGCCAUAGCAAUUAAUGAAGAACAAUUAAAUGGAAGUUUCUUUUGGGAUACUUGUACCCUUGGUAAUUUAUAGUACAUUGGGUACUAUGACAGUCAUAUUAAAGGAAAAAUUUAAUAUUUAAACUGUUAUUCUAAUUUUAGAAAAAAAUUAUUUUUGUUCUGGUUAAUAUUUUGUUUUAUUUAGUGUAUUCCAUACAUAAAAAAUUUCAAGGCCAUUUUUUAGGUUCAUUUGGAUAAACCAUUUUUUCAGCACUGUUUUUGUUUCUGUUUGAAACCACAGCAAAACUAGUAAGAGUGCUUUGUCUCAAAGUAACGUGCAGCAGCAUCGGACUCAUUCAUGGAAGCAUCGAAUCAGUUCUACUAGAGCAACUUAUUUUUAAAAUCACUUGUAUUUUAUGUGUAUGAGUGUUUUGCAUGCAUGAAAGCAUGUGCAAUUUUUCCAUGCAUGAUACCAUCAGAGGCCAGAAGAGGACCUCAGGUCACCUAGAGUGGGAGCUACAGACAGUUGUGAGUCACCAUGGAAAGUAAAUUCUGGUCCUCCGGAAGAACAGACAGAGCUUUUGAUUGUUGAGGUACCUCUUCAUCUCCAAGCAACUAUUUUUUCAUUCUGAAGAUCAACAUUUUCAUUGUGGUGCUGGGAACCUGACCUUGAGGUUUGCACAUGCUAGACUAGAGCUCUUAACACUACGCUCCUAGCUCUAAAGAUCAAUGAUAAAGUUAUAGAUAACCAAGUUCAGAGCUGAGCAGGGUGGGGUCCACAAUGCACACACACAUGCCACAGGGAAGAUAAUUGCACUCUUAGGAAUAGUCUACCCCAUUCCAUUCCGUGACCAUUCUCACCAAUUCUGCCAGCAAGUUUGGAAGGUGAAUCCACUCCUACCUACAGAAAGGCUGCCACUAACCUUAGGCUUCCCAGCUCAUAAUUGGUGACCUGUCUUUAUGCCAAUUUGUUACUGUGACUUUUCCCAGGCCCAAACUUCAAACUUAAGACUUCCAGACCUCCAAAGUUUUUGCUUUCUUUUUUGAUUUUGCAACAUGAAAAACAACUUCAUUUAGGUCAGGCUAGCCUUAAAUUCCUUUUCCUCCAACUGAAUCUUCCGAGUGCUGGGAUUACAGGUGUGUAUCUUGAGGCCAACUGAAUUAAUGUAUCUUUAUUAAACCAACCUCUGAUUCUAAUGCUUUUAUUAUCUAUUCCCUCUUAAAUCUGUCUAAUUUCUUCCUAUUUUUUGACAUCUUUGAUUUAUCAAACAUUAUUUAUCAUCUAGAAUAGUGAGAUUUCUUUUUUCAAUUUCAAUGACACAUGGCCAACCAUCAUGUAAAACACUAUCUCAGUACAAUAAGGAUCACAUUUAUUAUUAUUAUUGUUAUUAUUAUUUACAUUUCUUUGCUGUGUUUGUGUCUAUCUGUCUGUACUUGUAUGCAUAUGGGUGUGUGUACCAUAGCAUAGGUGUAGAGGUUGGAGGGCAGUUUACAGAAGUCUGCUUUCUUCUUCUACUGUUGUGGCUCGCAGGGAACAAACUCAUGUUUAAGUGUUGGUAGCAAGUACCUUUACCUACUGAGCUAUUUUGCAAGCCCAAGAGUUAAGUUAUUAGUGCUGCAUGGAGAAGGAGAGAGAGAGAGAGAGAGAGAGAGAGAGAGAGAGAGAGAGAGAUGAAAAAGAAAAUUCAUAUAAUUUUUAUUGCAUAUUGUUAUUGAUGUAUUGUUUUAUUAUUGUUUAGCUCUUUAGUACUCUCUGUGGUGUCAGACAUUCUUUAAAGAUCUUGGAGAGUUAAUAUUCCAAAGAUUGGUGAUUCUGUAGUCUACUCUGACCCAUAGAGUGCUUGCUGAACCAUUCUCCAUUUAGUUAGCAGAGACAUCUGUUUGAGGAGCUAAUCUGAUCCCCCCACUCUGAGGUUUAACACAUUUCAGUAACCUAUCAAUCAUUUACCUUACAUCUUGUGUGAUGCACUAUGCCCUCUAUUCUGCCUUACAUACUGUGUCUCUCCAGUAUUCUCUGCCUUGCUUUCACUCCCUCAUGUUCUGUGCCUUUCUUUCCCGUAGGCUUUUGUCUCUUAGAUCAUUCUUCCUUGUCAUGUAUCAUGCUGAACUUUGACAAGUUAACUCCUAUGCACUCUGGAGCUAAGAGAGAGUAUUAGAGCUUGCCUUCUUGAGCUUCCAGUCUUGGUCAUGGAAUUUCAUUUGGUCUGGUUUUGCAUACACCUGAGUCAACACUCAAGUUCUCUUCUGUUUCUAUAGCAUGCACAGAAGCUUCUGUACUUCAUCAAUGAGGUUUUAUUUGACUAACUGAAGGUCCAUUAGGGCAGUGACCAUUCUACCUCUGAUAUACACGGCUGCCUUCCACUCAUUGGAAAUAUUAAAGAAUGUCAGCCAAAAGAAGAUAAAAUGAAUACAUUUUGCUGUGCUUCUACUUAAUGUUCCCAGUAUGCAAACAACUCUCUAUUAAUAAAAAGUUAUUCCUAGAAGGCAGAAAUAAUGCAUCUCAACAAACAAAGUGGGGCUUAAGAAAAUCAUCAUGAACUAAAGUAGUUUCGAUACUCUUGCUUUUUACAGACUCAGCCAGCAGAAUCAACAAGUCUGUCAGUAAUCCUAUUUGGAUUAGCAUUCUGUGAAGCAUAUUAAAGACGAACACUUUAUCUUUCCAAGGCUUUGCUUUUCUAUAUUAAUACUGCUGCUAUUUAUAAUUGUGAGAAUUCAAAAUACCUCCAAUAUUUCAGCGUUCUAUAUACAUGAUUUCCUGAAAUAGAGUUUUCUCAUAUCACUCCAUUUUAGCCUCAGCACAUUUAUUUUAAAGUACAAGAAUUAUAGGAAUUAUCAAUUUAUGAGCUUGAUAAGCUUUUGCAUACAGUAGGCCUACAACUAAGAGCUAUGAACAAUAAAUUGUUAAAUUAAAAUUCCCUAAAGCACUUCUAUUUGAAUUAAACUUAGAACAUAAAAAGCUCAAAUCUUAUUGAACACAGAGCAGCAUAUAUAUAUAUAUAUAUAUAUAUAUAUAUAUAUAUGCUUCCUUUUCUGUGAGUAAGUGAAAGCAGAAUUUCUACAUUUUUAAAUGUAUGAAAUUAAAAAGAGGACAUUUAGGAAUUACCAGCUUACUAUAAUUUUUAUUUUUCAUUGAUAACAUGCUUAAUUAGAAGAGGGUAUAAAUUAAAUUUCAUAGAACGUUGGCUCAAGAGUCCUAAAGAUAAUCUUGCUGUCGUUAGUUGUAGGCCAGAAGGGCUACAUCUUAUUGAAUCUUAACCUCCCUACCACUUCCUUCAACUCCCUUUAAAAAAAUCAAUUUUUAACUGUAGGCUAAUCAAUGUUUGGAAAAAUGGUGUGUCUUGAGCACGGGGUGGAGAAACAUAUGCUUCAUUACUUGCUGCUAAAUUAGGAAAUUAGCUUAAGUAAUAGGCUAUUCAAUCAGAUGUCUUGGUCAACUCUACCUAACAUCAAAGAAAUGAACUUCAUUUAACAGGUAUUUUUUUUCCUCCAUUUUUAUUAUAUUGGGCAUUUCUUAUUUACAUUUCUUUUUUUCCCUCCAUCUUUAUUAAAUUGGGUAUUUCUUAUUUACACUUCAAUUGUUAUUCCCUUUCCCGGCCAACAUCCCCCUAACCCCUCCCCCUCCCCUUCUAUAUGGGUGUUCCUCUCCCCAUUCUUCCCCCAUUACUGCCCUCCCCCCAACAAUCACGUUCACUGGGGGUUCAGUCUUGGCAGGAACAAGGGCUUCCCCUUCCACUGGUGCUCUUACUAGGCUAUUCAUUGUUACCUAUGAGGUUGGAGCCCAGGGUCAGUCCAUGUAUAGUCUUUGGGUAGUGGCUUAGUCCCUGGAAGCUCUGGUUGGUUGACAUUGUUGCUCAUGUGGGGUCUCAAGCUCCUUCAAGCUCUUCCAGUCCUUUCUCUGAAUCCUUCAACAGGGGUCCCUUAACAGGUAUUUUAAAUUCAUCUGAGUUUGUACUCCUCUAUUUUCUCCUGAAACUUGAACUUAUGCAUAAAAUUGGAGAGUGGGCCAAUCAAAAAUGUUUUCUUUUUUGUAAUAGUAUAGUAAGAAAUGCUUUAAAAAUCCUUUAUUUCAUGACAAAAAAUGUGGUUACUGUAAGUGAGGGACUAAGUUUUAAUAUCAUAUGUCUUCAAUGAAUUAAUAUUGUACUAAAAAUCCUUUAUUUCCUUGUUUUUAAGUAUCGCAAAUGGUAGGUAUGGAUCUGAGGACUUUGGUUUUCAGAAUAUUUCCAGCAAGUAGAUUAUUUGGCUCCUUCUAGUAUUGCAUAAUUUAUGUUCAUAGAUGAUAAGGGAAUUCCCCUCCCUCCAAUUAACGAAGAUUUUAGUCCAUUUCAUGUGUUUGAUAUUUAACAUUCCAAGAAUAGACAAUGAGGUCAGUGGAAACUUCUGAGUCAGAAAGUGAUGCCUGCUUCUAUUUUGACUGAAUUGUUCUAGGUCCAGAGUGGCUUUUUGGCAUAGGAAGUCAGACUCAGCAUCAUUAAUCAUUAAGGAAUCGGUAGAGAAUCCCUCACAAAUAUACACCCUCUGCA